UCAAAGAUAUACAAGCUAACUAAAAAUAAAAGGUUCUGUCUCCUAUAGACGCUUUUAUCCGGUUUGAGAUUUUAGGCCGCCAAGAUGACAGUCCUAGUGGAUCUCGUGCAGACCGUAACUCGCUUCGACGACGUACGUCUUUCAAUCUGAUUGCUGCUGAAACGAGGCAAAUUGCUGUUCGAGACCGGACAAUUAGAACUCACUUUUUUCGAUAUGAAGUGGCAUACAUUGUUUUCAAUGUACUAGAUGUCUUCUUUAUUCUAAAGUGUGAAGUCCUUACCAGCGCCUCAAGUAUUCAAGCGCUGAAUUUAGUGUGUAUUGAGCUCCAUAUCGCAUUGCGGACACUAUUACACCACAGCGAAAUCUAUAAAUCCUGUUUAAUACACUCUAAAUUAAUAAUAAUUUGGUACGCAUGUAUUAGCCAAUACUCGAAAUUAUGCUUUGAGUACAAUAAGUUAUGUACUAUAGGCUAUGACAAUUGAGAUAAUACGAUAAGAAACAAUUUCCCACCCUGCCGUCUGGCUUGUAAGGGUUUAAACUUUUGAGUUCAAAGCAAUAAAUACGAGUAUUUGCUAUUAUAAAGUGAGAUGUAAUUAAUACUGAUUUGACGUCCAGCAUUAAAACUGGAAUAAAAAAUAGUAUUCAUAUUAAUAACAAUGACAUGCAUGUAAGUUCUAUAUAAUAACCACAUGGCUUGUGAUAAAAAAUAUAUAAUAUAUAUUUUGAUGCUCAUUUGAUUUUAUUUCAGCGUAUUAACACGUGUCCCAUUGAUUUCCCUGAAGCCGACGAUACCAUGUUCUUCGUAUUGACCCAUUCAGACGACGCUAGAAAUGUAGACGGCCGGCAGACGGCAAUGUAGGAGACGCUACCCGAAGGUGGUUUUGUUUUACUUGGAUACGUGUAAUGGCUAUUUCCAGAGAUUCAUGCCCGACACCUGAACCGACAGAAGACCAAUACCGUUAAGCUUUAACAAGCAUCGGCGUAAUGUUUUGUUUUCAUUUAAUGAAUUUAAAAAAAGCAAAACAACCUAAAAGGUUUUCAAAAUAUCAGCAUUAUUUUUCGGUAAACAAACAGUUAGUAGCAAUUACAUUUAUAAAGCAUCAACCUACUUAUUAAAGAUGCACUGCGUCCAAAGCGAGCGUGUAUUGAGUCGUAGUUAAGUUCCAGUAGAACCAGAACGUGUCGUCUUUUUGAAAAAUAUGUUCUCCACUUUCAACUUUAAAUUAUAUAUUUGAAUAUUUUUUCUCGUUGCAAUACGAAACAUUACAAAAUAUAGAAAGUCAAUUUCAUUUUGUUAUCUACAUGUUCUAUUUUCGGAUGAUUUCAUCAGUUUCAGGCGUAUUUCCGAAACGACGAGAACACACAGAUGGCUACCAAACGGAAAGAAUGCAUUCUCUGAGAGAAAAAAAACAUAACUUAAUCUAGUUUGUGUUCUUUUCAAUGGUAAUAAUAAACACAAUGAUUUACAAAAUAUCAAUCCAAGACAUGCUGGGAUUUCUUGCAGAAACAGUAACUUAUUGGGCCGGUUUUAAAAGCGAUGUUUGAGUAGAGACAAUGCGUUUCGUCUUCUAUUAAAUGUUCUGCCAAACGCUGUCUUGUUAGGGAUCAAUCUCGAGACACCAUUUCGCAUCACCACUGUGAUUUUAAGUUGUUCACUAAAAUUGUACAUGUAUAUACUAUAUAGACAUAAUACAACUACGCCGAUAUAAUGGGGCAUAAUAACAUUGUGUUCGUCACAUGUUUGUAGUGUGAACUGUUUGUUCCGUUUUCUAGUAUUUCGUUGCAGACGACAGGGCGCUGACACAUAUGCAGGGACAAUUUGAGAAAUUUCACUGAUCGAACGAACACUGAUGUUCCAUCUGCAGUAAUUCUCUAUAUGGACCACAACCCAUCUUGCUUUCAUGAGCGAACCGGAUGGCCGGAUAAAGACGGCAAUGUGAGAUCUACGCCGAACAGCUCUAUCCUGUACGGACACGUAACGAUUAUUAUAAAUUACGUGUACAUGAGGAUGAUUAACACGAUGGUGUAUGAUAAUAACAGGGACGACGAUGAUGGUAAUGACGCUGAUGGUGGUGAUCGCGUGGCGAUUGGGGUGAUGUUGAUAAGGAGGAGGAUGGUAUUUGUGUAAUAUAAGCACUUUUUUUGCAGUUUUGGCCCGACAAUAAAUUAUCAGUGUUCGUGAACAACAUAUGGUCGAAGCGUCAUAGGAAAACGAACAAUUAUUCAUGGCCAUGAGACAUUCUUUAUUGUAAAGAUUUAGGAUGUCUUUACAGUGGAACAUGGCCUUUUCUAAUUAUUUAAUUUAUACCAGUAGUAACAUUAACACUUUA